rnacentral:misc_RNA from 1 species
CGAUUGCUGUUUGAUUAGCUUUUCGUGCCUCAUUCAUCUUAAGCCUAAUUUCAAACAAUUUCUUUUUCCUCCCCGUGAGCUUUGUGAAGUCUCCUUCCACAUUCUCCUCGCCAUUAAAUUUGUCAAUGUCACCAUCACUGUGCCCUUCUUCGUCAGGCUUUUCAUCAUGAAGAUCUUCAUACUCAUCAGGAGGCACAAAAUUGGAAGAACCACUACUUUGACCAGCUUGAACAGCUUCUGAUGAAGUGGGAACUGGCUCAUUUUUCUGAUUCCGGGCUUUGACUUCAGCUAUUACUUUAAAGCAGUACUCGCUACAUUCAUGAUAAGGAUUAG